UGGGGAAUAUUGCACAAUGGGCGCAAGCCUGAUGCAGCAACGCCGCGUGAGGGAUGACGGCCUUCGGGUUGUAAACCUCUUUUAGUAGGGAAGAAGCGAAAGUGACGGUACCUGCAGAAAAAGCACCGGCUAACUACGUGCCAGCAGCCGCGGUAAUACGUAGGGUGCGAGCGUUGUCCGGAAUUAUUGGGCGUAAAGAGCUCGUAGGCGGUCUGUCGCGUCUGCUGUGAAAACCCGAGGCUCAACCUCGGGCCUGCAGUGGGUACGGGCAGACUAGAGUGCGGUAGGGGAGAAUGGAAUUCCUGGUGUAGCGGUGGAAUGCGCAGAUAUCAGGAGGAACACCGAUGGCGAAGGCGCCC
rnacentral:rRNA from 1 species